GCGGGAACUGCUGCUAAUACCCCAUAUGCCGAAAGGUGAAAAGAAAUUUGCCUUGAGAGGGGCUCGCGUCCGAUUAGCUAGUUGGUGAGGUAAGAGCUUACCAAGGCGACGAUCGGUAGCUGGUCUGAGAGGAUGAGCAGCCACACUGGGACUGAGACACGGCCCAGACUCCUACGGGAGGCAGCAGUGGGGAAUUUUCCGCAAUGGGCGAAAGCCUGACGGAGCAACGCCGCGUGGGGGAAGAAGGCCUUUGGGUUGUAAACUCCUUUUCUCAGGGAAGAAGAACUGACGGUACCUGAGGAAUCAGCCUCGGCUAACUCCGUGCCAGCAGCCGCGGUAAUACGGAGGAGGCAAGCGUUAUCCGGAAUUAUUGGGCGUAAAGCGUUCGUAGGCGGCGUUUCAAGUCUGCUGUCAAAGGCCGAGGCUCAACUUCGGAAAGGCAGUGGAAACUGAAAAGCUAGAGGUCGGUAGGGGCAGAGGGAAUUCCCAGUGUAGCGGUGAAAUGCGUAGAUAUUGGGAAGAACACCGGUGGCGAAAGCGCUCUGCUGGGCCGAACCUGACGCUGAGGGACGAAAGCUAGGGGAGCGAAUGGGAUUAGAUAC
rnacentral:rRNA from 1 species